GUUUAAAGCAGGCUUAAGCUUGAGUACAUUAGCAUGGAAUAAUGAAAUAGGACGUUUGAUCUUAUUUUGUUGGUUUCUAAGAUCGACGUAAUGAUUAAUAGGGAUAGUUGGGGGCAUUAGUAUUCAAUUGUCAGAGGUGAAAUUCUUGGAUUUAUUGAAGACUAACUACUGCGAAAGCAUUUGCCAAGGAUGUUUUCAUUAAUCAAGAACGAAAGUUAGGGGAUCGAAGACGAUCAGAUACCGUCGUAGUCUUAACCAUAAACCAUGCCGACUGGGGAUCGGAUGAUGUUAUAUUUUGACUCGUUCGGCGCCUUACGGGAAAC
rnacentral:rRNA from 2 species